AUUGAACGCUGGCGGCAGGCCUAACACAUGCAAGUCGAACGGUAACAGGAAACAGCUUGCUGUUUCGCUGACGAGUGGCGGACGGGUGAGUAAUGUCUGGGAAACUGCCUGAUGGAGGGGGAUAACUACUGGAAACGGUAGCUAAUACCGCAUAACGUCGCAAGACCAAAGAGGGGGACCCUCGGGCCUCUUGCCAUCGGAUGUGCCCAGAUGGGAUUAGCUUGUUGGUGGGGUAACGGCUCACCAAGGCGACGAUCCCUAGCUGGUCUGAGAGGAUGACCAGCCACACUGGAACUGAGACACGGUCCAGACUCCUACGGGAGGCAGCAGUGGGGAAUAUUGCACAAUGGGCGCAAGCCUGAUGCAGCCAUGCCGCGUGUAUGAAGAAGGCCUUCGGGUUGUAAAGUACUUUCAGCGGGGAGGAAGGAAGUAAAGUUAAUACCUUUGCUCAUUGACGUUACCCGCAGAAGAAGCACCGGCUAACUCCGUG
rnacentral:rRNA from 1 species